GCAGCCGCCGCGGGAAUACGUAGGGUGCAAGCGUUAAUCGGAAUUACUGGGCGUAAAGCGUGCGCAGGCGGUUCUAUAAGACAGAUGUGAAAUCCCCGGGCUCAACCUGGGAACUGCAUUUGUGACUGUAGAGCUGGAGUACGGCAGAGGGGGAUGGAAUUCCGCGUGUAGCAGUGAAAUGCGUAGAUAUGCGGAGGAACACCGAUGGCGAAGGCAAUCCCCUGGGCCUGUACUGACGCUCAUGCACGAAGGCGUGGGGAGCAAACAGGAUUAGAUACCCCCGUAGUCCCUGUCUCUUAUAC
rnacentral:rRNA from 1 species